UUUACGGGAGGCAGCAGUGGGGAAUAUUGGACAAUGGGCGAAAGCCUGAUCCAGCCAUGCCGCGUGUGUGAAGAAGGUCUUCGGAUUGUAAAGCACUUUAAGUUGGGAGGAAGGGCAGUUACCUAAUACGUGAUCGUUUUGACGUUACCGACAGAAUAAGCACCGGCUAACUCUGUGCCAGCAGCCGCGGUAAU
rnacentral:rRNA from 1 species